GGUUAAGCGACUAAGCGUACACGGUGGAUGCCCCGGCAGUCAGAGGCGAUGAAGGACGUGCUAAUCUGCGAAAAGCGUCGGUAAGGUGAUAUGAACCGUUACAGCCGGCGAUGUCCGAAUGGGGAAACCCAGUGCAAUUCGUUGCACUAUCGUUAACUGAAUACAUAGGUUAACGAGGCGAACCGGGGAACUGAAACAUCUAAGUACCCCGAGGAAAAGAAAUCAACCGAGAUUCCCCAGUAGCGGCGAGCGAACGGGGAGCAGCCCAGAGUCUGAAUCAGCUUGUGUGUUAGUGGAACGGUCUGGAAAGUCCGACGGUACAGGGUGAUAGUCCCGUACACCAAAAUGCACAGGUUGUGAACUCGAAGAGUAGGGCGGGACACGUGGUAUCCUGUCUGAAUAUGGGGGGACCAUCCUCCAAGGCUAAAUACUCCUGACUGACCGAUAGUGAACCAGUACCGUGAGGGAAAGGCGAAAAGAACCCCGGCGAGGGAGUGAAAAAGAACCUGAAACCGUGUACGUACAAGCAGUGGGAGCACCUUCGGGUGUGACUGCGUACCUUUUGUAUAAUGGGUCAGCGACUUAUAUUCUGUAGCAAGGUUAACCGUAUAGGGGAGCCGCAGGGAAACCGAGUCUUAACUGGGCGUUAAGUUGCAGGGUAUAGACCCGAAACCCGGUGAUCUAGCCAUGGGCAGGUUGAAGGUUGGGUAACACUAACUGGAGGACCGAACCGACUAAUGUUGAAAAAUUAGCGGAUGACUUGUGGCUGGGGGUGAAAGGCCAAUCAAACCGGGAGAUAGCUGGUUCUCCCCGAAAGCUAUUUAGGUAGCGCCUCGUGAACUCAUCUUCGGGGUAGAGCACUGUUUCGGCUAGGGGGGUCAUCCCGACUUACCAACCCGAUGCAAACUACGAAUACCGAAGAAUGUUAUCACGGGAGACACACGGCGGGUGCUAACGUCCGUCGUGAAGAGGGAAACAACCCAGACCGCCAGCUAAGGUCCCAAAGUCAUGGUUAAGUGGGAAACGAUGUGGGAAGGCACAGACAGCCGGGAUGUUGGCUUAGAAGCAGCCAUCAUUUAAAGAAAGCGUAAUAGCUCACUGGUCGAGUCGGCCUGCGCGGAAGAUGUAACGGGGCUAAACCAUGCACCGAAGCUGCGGCAGCGACACUAUGUGUUGUUGGGUAGGGGAGCGUUCUGUAAGCCUGCGAAGGUGUGCUGUGAGGCAUGCUGGAGGUAUCAGAAGUGCGAAUGCUGACAUAAGUAACGAUAAAGCGGGUGAAAAGCCCGCUCGCCGGAAGACCAAGGGUUCCUGUCCAACGUUAAUCGGGGCAGGGUGAGUCGACCCCUAAGGCGAGGCCGAAAGGCGUAGUCGAUGGGAAACAGGUUAAUAUUCCUGUACUUGGUGUUACUGCGAAGGGGGACGGAGAAGGCUAUGUUAGCCGGGCGACGGUUGUCCCGGUUUAAGCAUGUAGGCUGAUUGUCCGAGGCAAAUCCGGAUAAUCAAGGCUGAGGUGUGAUGACGAGGCACUACGGUGCUGAAGUAACAAAUGCCCUGCUUCCGAGGAAAAGCCUCUAAGCAUCAGGUAACAUUAAAUCGUACCCCAAACCGACACAGGUGGUCAGGUAGAGAAUACCAAGGCGCUUGAGAGAACUCGGGUGAAGGAACUAGGCAAAAUGGUGCCGUAACUUCGGGAGAAGGCACGCUGGUGUGUAGGUGAAGUCCCUGCGGAUGGAGCUGAGACCAGUCGAAGAUACCAGCUGGCUGCAACUGUUUAUUAAAAACACAGCACUGUGCAAACACGAAAGUGGACGUAUACGGUGUGACGCCUGCCCGGUGCCGGAAGGUUAAUUGAUGGGGUUAUCCGUAAGGAGAAGCUCUUGAUCGAAGCCCCGGUAAACGGCGGCCGUAACUAUAACGGUCCUAAGGUAGCGAAAUUCCUUGUCGGGUAAGUUCCGACCUGCACGAAUGGCGUAAUGAUGGCCGGGGCUGUCUCCACCCGAGACUCAGUGAAAUUGAACUCGCUGUGAAGAUGCAGUGUACCCGCGGCAAGACGGAAAGACCCCGUGAACCUUUACUAUAGCUUGACACUGAACAUUGAGCCUUGAUGUGUAGGAUAGGUGGGAGGCUUUGAAGCGUGGACGCCAGUCUGCGUGGAGCCAACCUUGAAAUACCACCCUUUAAUGUUUGAUGUUCUAACGUUGGCCCCUGACCGGGGUUGCGGACAGUGUCUGGUGGGUAGUUUGACUGGGGCGGUCUCCUCCCAAAGCGUAACGGAGGAGCACGAAGGUUAGCUAAUCCCCGGUCGGACAUCAGGAGGUUAGUGCAAUGGCAUAAGCUAGCUUGACUGCGAGCGUGACGGCGCGAGCAGGUGCGAAAAGCAGGUCAUAGUGAUCCGGUGGUUCUGAAUGGAAGGGCCAUCGCUCAACGGAUAAAAGGUACUCCGGGGAUAACAGGCUGAUACCGCCCAAGAGUUCAUAUCGACGGCGGUGUUUGGCACCUCGAUGUCGGCUCAUCACAUCCCUCGGGGCUGAAGUAGGUCCCAAGGGUAUGGCUGUUCGCCAUUUAAAGUGGUACGCGAGCUGGGUUUAGAACGUCGUGAGACAGUUCGGUCCCUAUCUGCCGUGGGCGCUGGAGAAUUGAGGGGGCUGCUCCUAGUACGAGAGGACCGGAGUGGACGCAUCACUGGUGUUCGGGUUGUCAUGCCAAUGGCACUGCCCGGUAGCUAAAUGCGGAAGAGAUAAGUGCUGAAAGCAUCUAAGCACGAAACUUGCCCCGAGAUGAGUUCUCCCUGAGACUUUAAGUCUCCUGAAGGAACGUUAAAGACGAUGACGUUGAUAGGCCGGGUGUGUAAGCGCAGCGAUGCGUUGAGCUAACCGGUACUAAUGAACCGUGAGGCUUAACCUU
rnacentral:rRNA from 1 species